CGAGGUGUAGCUCAGCUGGUAGAGUGCUUGUUUUGGGAACAAGAUGCCGCAGGUUCGAGCCCUGUCACUUCGACCA
rnacentral:tRNA from 1 species